CGGCCGUGCAGGGCCUGGCCUGCCCCGCUCCCCUUGGAGAUGACGGGCGGGCGGAGAGAGGGAUUGGGGACCGCUGCCUCGCUGAACGUUUUGGGCCCGUCUCGCCCCGCCGGCUUCCCUUCUUGGGGUCGCGUUUGCCUACGGCCUUGGUGGGCCCGCUUUGUGAAGCGAGGAGAAGGCUUUGGUGUCCCGGGAGGGGGGGAGCGGCCGUCACCGGACUACGUGCGGACAGUGCCGCAAGGUUUGGGGCCUGGCGGCGUGGAAGCGCCGGGAAGGGGCGGGAGGAAGGUGUCGCUGUGUUCCCGCCGGCCCGGAGGCGAGUGCAGGGAGGGGAUUUAGGGAGCGCUGGGCCGGAGCCAAGGUAGGCCGUGAGGAGCUGUUGCAGGGACAGAGCGGGAGAUGGGAAGAGGGAGAUUCCCGUGAAGAGCUGGAGUAGGGCGAGAGGCCCCUGUUGUGGCCGGCGAGCUCCGCCCGGCGAGGUGCUCUGCAGCGGUGGAGACCCCAGAGCGGGCAGCGCUGUGUCUGCAGCGAGAGGAAAUGGGAGGGCUUUGUGGUGCCUCCGGCCGGGAGGACUGUGAGCCGCGUUAUGCAGGGCUCUGGGUGCCGACUCCAAAUUCACGGUCCUUAAGAAUGAAUAGGGCUUGUCUCAUCUCUGGGUUUGUUUUGGUUUGUUUUUUUGGGGGGCUGGAGAGUGGUUAUAGGGGAGGAGCUACAGAAGCAAUAACCAGCAAUUACGAAGUUUGCCUUAAAUCGGGUUAUGAAGAUGCAACUAACAGUUGAUUUUUUUGAAGAAGAGCAACAGAAUAUGACUGUGAUGUGAUGAGAGAGGUGGUUUUGCUACACUUGAUGUCUGGUAAUGCACUAAAUAAGAGCUGAAACAUAAUACUGUCGUAUGCAGAACUUAUUCCAGAUGAAGUACAUGCUGCUGACCUUAAAAGGGUUACUAUGAACACUUUUUUUGGUAAGUGUUUUGGAGCCAAAAUUUGACAGAAAAAAACUGUAAUUCAGUGCUCUGAGGCCUAGUUGAAGCUCUGAAACAUCUGUACAGCUUCUCCAAGUUGACGGAAACUGAGUAUUUGUCGCUCCUGACUUGCUGUUGGGCUGUUUAGUUAGCUGUGCCUUUAAGCACUGGGCUUAGUAAUAGUGGGCACCAUACUCAAAGGUUAAGAUUCACCUGCUGAAGUACUGUACAAGUAAGUGAAACCAGAGAGCUAGUCUCUAUCCUUCUGGUGUUUUGAAUUCUGUGUGUUACCCAUUCAGUGUUAAUAAAUGUCCCAUCAUUUUUAGGCUUGGGUAAGCUUUUUGUUAAAGACAUCUGGUGCUCAACAAAACUUGCAUUCUGCUGAGCCUUAUGCUGCCUCUGGUAAAGCAACUACCGUUGGAAUCCUGGUAGACUGUUGUCUCCGUGCUGUGCAGAAAGAUAAACACUGAGCUAUUGGUUUGAUCCUUAGUGGAAGGCUUUAAACUCAAAUACUAGCUUUCAAAAUAGCCAUUUGUUUAAAACUUUGGAGAGAUGAUGUUUUCUGGAGAGAAUAACUGAACUGUCUUAAAAGAGUAGCUUCAGAAUUGUAGCUUAGUUGUUCUUUCUACCCAGUAUGGCCUUACAAUGUUACUGAGUCAGUCCAUCAAUAAGUAAGUAGAAUUCUAGGGAUAUUUGCUUUUGCAUUUGUUGGAAGCAAGCUUUUCUUUUCAGCUUUCUGUUUUGGUUUCCUGAAAAAAGAAAGCAAAUAGUUGUCUUUCAGUUUUCCACAUUAAGAUGGCAUAAUUGUUACCUGAUUGUAUCUGAACAAAAGUUACACUGAGUGGGAAAUGCAAAUAUUCAUUUAACACUUUGGUGUGACCCUAGUUCACUUAGUUCAGAUACGGUUUUAAUUAUAGUUGACUUUUAUCAUAUUUUGCUACAAAUGAGAGAAUCUUUUUCAGUCUCACUGUUUGGUUACUAAAGUCAGCCUUAUUAUUUCACUGUUUCAGUGUUGAAAAAAAAUGCAGGGAAGCAUAGAAACAGCUUCUUUUUGUGUUGCUGUACCUGGAUUCUGUUUGGAACCUGGUUAUUGGCAGUUCAUUCUUGUUCUUCAAAUGGAGACCAAAAUACCAGAUAUUUAGUGAUGUAUUUUAUAACUGAGGUCUUAAUGAUCAUAUUCAAUAAGAAUACUUCAUUUUCUGACUUAGCAUCAGGAGGGAUUGCACAACAGUGCAUGGAUUUCCACACCGGCACCCCAGAGUUCUGGUAUGCUAUGGUAGAAACAAGGUUUGUCUGUAGCACCAAAAAUUCUUUUGGUGAUUGCUAACUUGAGGGUGUGGUUUCAGCAGCAGCUCAAAUUGAUCUGAGUGGAGGUUGCUGUUAAAAGCUGGAGUUUUGAGCUCCUGCUUUUGUUCUCCUUCCAUGUUGGCACCAGUGCUCUUUGCAGCUGUCCAGAUCACCUUGUUGAUCUGGCUGAGAAUUCAACUUUAGAGUGAAUUUGUAGGCAAAUCAGCUUCUUGAACAAGAUGACUGGCAGUUCAAGGACCAUGGUGAGAAUGUGUGGAAGGAGGGAAUGUUCCUUUUAAAUUUAGCUGCAGCAAUUCUAAUGUUCCUAUAGAACAUAAAAAUAAAUUUAUUUUUGGCUGAAAAGUAGAUGCAUGCUAUUUUAAUAGCUGUUUAUGAGGCUAUACAGAAAUUCUACAUAUUACGGAGUUCUUUAGAAGAGCAACUCUACUUUCUUGGAGCUCCUCCGUAAACCUUGUUCUUGUGACUAAAGUUAAUUCUACUGUACACACAGAACACUCAACUACAGCAGCUUUAGUUCGCCAGUAUGUUUUUGACUUGUUAAUGAGACAAAGGCAGAUGAGGAGCAUUGUCAAAAAUGCUAAAAUACAAACCUGGGUGGACACUAAUUAAAGAUGUGUAGGUUGUGAUUCAAAUACAUUUAGCAGCAUGCUGAUGGUGUUGGUGACAAAUGGCUCCUGCCUUGGAGCUGCUA